rnacentral:rRNA from 1 species
UGAGGAAUAUUGGUCAAUGGGCGGGAGCCUGAACCAGCCAAGCCGCGUGAGGGAGGAAGGCCCUAUGGGUCGUAAACCUCUUUUGUCAGGGUAACAAAAGCGAGUAUGUAUACUAGUCUGAGUGUACCUGAAGAAAAAGCAUCGGCUAACUCCGUGCCAGCAGCCGCGGUAAUACGGAGGAUGCGAGCGUUAUCCGGAUUUAUUGGGUUUAAAGGGUGCGUAGGCGGCGGUGCAAGUCAGCGGUAAAAAGCCCGGGGCUCAACCCG